UACGUAGGGUGCAAGCGUUAAUCGGAAUUACUGGGCGUAAAGCGUGCGCAGGCGGCUAUGCAAGACAGAUGUGAAAUCCCCGGGCUUAACCUGGGAACUGCAUUUGUGACUGCAUGGCUAGAGUACGGUAGAGGGGGAUGGAAUUCCGCGUGUAGCAGUGAAAUGCGUAGAUAUGGGGAGGAACACCGGUGGCGAAGGCGACCAUCUGGACGGAUACUGACGCUGAGACGCGAAAGCGUGGGUAGCAAACAGG
rnacentral:rRNA from 1 species